UCCAGAACCGCCGCCUUCCGCCCUCUGCCGGCAUCUCCACAAGGCAGCGUGCACGGUGAUAUCCUUCUCUUGUGUUUGUUUUUUUUCUUUUUAUUUAUCUUUGUCUUGUUUAUUGUCUUGAGUUUUUGUUAGUUUUUUGUGUGCUUUCCUUUUUUUCUUUAUGCUUUUUCUUGUUUGCUUGAGGGCAAGCAACGUCUAAGUGUGAGGAGGGGAUGUGUCUUUGUUUUUGUGUGUCUAUGUUGAGUCGUUGUGUUGUCUUGCAUGUUAGUCAAGUGAGUGUUGGUUUGUUAGUUUUGUGUAUGCAUGCUGCCAAGUUGCACUUUGUGAUGAAGUAGAUGACUUGAUACUUUUGGAAUUGAAGAAUUGUGAUUUUAUGGAUGAAUCUUUAUUAGAUGAAAAUUGGGAUGACGAAGAAAGGCAACAAGUGAGUAAAAACCACACAUAAGUGAGAUUUGAGCUUAAUAGCGUAGAGCACUCUCUACUAUAUUCCUUUUUUUAGUGCUUUGAUGUCAUGAUAUUAAGUGUGUCAUAUGUGACAAAUGAUAGAAGGCACUAGGGAAGCCCUUUUGGCCUGCGUUUCAUUGCCUACCCAUACAUGAACCCCUAGUGAGCCAUUUUUGAAGCCUUGACCAUUUUUGUUCUUACUAGUCACUAAAUAAUUAGCCAAGGCAUGUUUUGGACUCUCUCUUUGGCCCAGUGAUGCAUGUCUAAUUUUGAACUUCAUUCCAUUAAUUACUAGAGAAAGUUAAGAUGUGGUUACAUAUGCCGUUUGCCCAAACUGCUGUUUGUGCUAGAUGAUAAGGGUCUGUGAUCCGUUUGGCCAAACAGUGGCAGUGAAUUCAGAUUGGGUUUGGGAGACGAUUUGUGGGGAUAUUUUGUAGAUGAUGAUUGCAUGUUGAUUGAGGAUAUAAAAAAAGGGUGCU
rnacentral:lncRNA from 1 species